UACGUAGGGUGCGAGCGUUGUCCGGAAUUAUUGGGCGUAAAGAGCUCGUAGGCGGUUCGUCGCGUCGUAUGUGAAAACCCGAGGCUCAACCUCGGGCCUGCAUUCGAUACGGGCGAACUAGAGUUCGGUAGGGGAGACUGGAAUUCCUGGUGUAGCGGUGAAAUGCGCAGAUAUCAGGAGGAACACCGGUGGCGAAGGCGGGUCUCUGGGCCGAUACUGACGCUGAGGAGCGAAAGCGUGGGGAGCGAACAGG
rnacentral:rRNA from 1 species